UACAGGGGGUGCAAACGUUGCUCGGAAUCAUUGGGCGUAAAGCGCACGUAGGCGGUCUGUUAUGUCGGAUGUGAAAGCCCUCGGCUCAACUGAGGAAGUGCAUCCGAAACUGGCAGGCUAGAGUACUAAAGAGGGUCGCGGAAUUCCCGGUGUAGAGGUGAAAUUCGUAGAUAUCAGGAGGAACACCGAUGGCGAAGGCAGGUCUCUGGGCAUUAACUGACGCUGAGGAGCGAAAGCAUGGGGAGCGAACAGG
rnacentral:rRNA from 1 species